AGCGGGCCAGGCGGCCGCGCGUACACGGCGAAAGCCCGUGCGUGAGGAAAGUCCGGGCUCCACAGGGCAAGGAUAACGGGUAACGCCCGCCAGGGGAAACCCUCGGACAAGUGCAACAGAGAUAUACCGCGUCGAGCCUCCGCCAGGAGAGAAAUCAAAUGGGGUCCCCACGAAAGCCCUGCGCUUUCGUGGGGAAAGGAGGAGCAAGGGAGCGAACGCAGUUUUCGGCGAAAGCCGCUGGCUUUUGCCGGAAACGGAGGUGAGCGCACUUUGCGACGACGUAAGGGUGGAAAGGCGGAGAUAAGCGCCCGCCCGCCGCAUGGAGACAUGCCGGCGCUGUAAACUCUAUCCGGAGCAACACCGUGGAAAGGGACAUGAAGGCCGGCCCGGCCGUCCCGAUGGAGGUGGCUUGAGGCGCGCGGCAACGUGCGUUCGAGAUAGAUGGCCGUCCACGACAGAACCCGGCUUACAGGCCCGCG
rnacentral:RNase_P_RNA from 1 species